UACGUAGGUGGCAAGCGUUGUCCGGAUUUAUUGGGUUUAAAGGGUGCGUAGGCGGCUUUGUAAGUCAGUGGUGAAAUAUGGCAGCUCAACUGUCAGGGUGCCACUGAUACUGCGGAGCUUGAGUACAGAUGAGGUAGGCGGAAUUGACGGUGUAGCGGUGAAAUGCUUAGAUAUCGUCAAGAACACCGAUAGCGAAGGCAGCUUACUGGGCUGUAACUGACGCUGAGGCACGAAAGUGUGGGGAUCAAACAGG
rnacentral:rRNA from 1 species